rnacentral:lncRNA from 1 species
AGACAUUAUAGGAAAAUUUUGUGGCUUUUAUUCACUCCUUUCACUUUUAUAUCAGUUCUGGGCAUUAAACUCAGGUCACUAUGUGUUGUGGUUUGAAAGAGAAUGGCUGCCACAGGCUCAUCUAUUCUAAUAGUUGGUCCCUAGUUGGUGGAACCAUUUGCUAGGGUGAGGAGAUGUGUCCUCAUUGCAGGAGGUGUUUUACUGAAGGUAGGCUUUGAGCUUUCCAAGUCCCAUUUUCCCCAAUUAGUGCUCUCUGCCUCCUAUUUUUUGAUAAGGAUGUAAGCUCUCAGAUACUGUUCCAAUGCUAUGUCUGCCUGCCUGCUGCCAUGUUUCCGAUCAUGCUGUUUAUAGACUCACCCUCUGAACUGUAAACCUCCAAUUGAAUGCUUGCUUUCAUAAGUUGGCUUGUUCCCAGUGAUUCUUUACAGAAUUAGAAAAGUAACUAAGAUAUUGUGGUUGCAUGGCAAGUACUUUAUCCAAUGAUCUUUUGCCAGCCCUGUUGACUACUUGUUUAUUACUUCUAAUAUGAAGAAAUUCUUGGCUUGGUUUGAUCUGUUGGUUCCAGAAGCUAGAUUCCUGCUUAGUAGUACUAUCUGGCAAAUCUAGAAACAUGAAAACAGAUGGUUCUUUGUCUAUAACACUGUGGAUGUGGCUUCUUGAUGGCAGUGGUUGUCCAAGAUUAAUGGCAUUAUGAAUGAGUCAUAUUUUAGGUUGUGUUUCAUUUAUGAGCUCUUUGAGGGUAAAUCCCUUUUAUAUGGAACCUCCUUGGUUCAUAGUAUUUGGCAACAUAUGAAUAAAUUAGGGUAAAGCCAUACUAUGCCCUUAUACUGUCAAACAUUAAUGAUCACAGAUAUUCCUGCUUUAGGACUUCAUUCCACAUAACUACAUGUUUAUUGUACUUAUUGAACACUGGGCUGUGAGUCACUGUUAAGCCUACAGCUUAGAACCCAGCACAACAUCUGGAUCUCUCUGUAAUCCUUGUUCUUGCUUCCCCCCCCUUCCUUCUAGUCUUGACAAUUUUAUUGUAAACCAUCCUAUCUUUACAGCCAAAAGAAAGUCUAUGUCAUGCUUAUACAAUUCUUGAAGAUUUGAUAAGAGGUUUGUAUACUUAAAUGUAAUAAUAAGCAUUUUGUUUAAUAAUUUAUAUAUUAUUCUAAGAAAACGCAGUAAAGGACUAGAAAGUUCAGUACUGUACUCACUAUUCAAGAUAAAAGAAAUUAUUUUCCUUAUCUUUGACCUAGAGUUAGUUUCUUUUUUGUUUUUUAAAGGAUUACACCAAAUGAACAAAUUGGAACAAAUGGGAUUAUGAAAGUUUGCUUAAACAUUAACAAGAAAUAUGCCAUAGCUAUUGAAAACAAGAGGCACUGCUGUUUGUUGUGAUGUAGAAAGAUUUCCAGGUACAUUUAUUGCUACAUGAAUGCAAUAAUGUACAAAUGUAUUUUUAAAAUUCUGCGUUAAAAUGUCUAGAUGGAUAUAGAAACUAUUACUAAAAAUAUUUAGCUUUGUGAAGCUGUAGUGCACAAAGUGUCAUGUAAAAUACUAUGGGACAUGAGGCCAUGGGCUCCACAUUACCAACUACAUUGUAUGUUUUAAAAUUUUGAACCCAAGAAAUAUGCUACCUGUUUACCAAUAAACAUGGGUUUAAAAGAUAUAAAUGGAGUAACUAUAUCAAUCCAAGGCAUGGAGCACAUUAUUAACAUAUUCUUUUAAAAAAGAUUUAUUUGUUUAUUAUAAAUAAGUACAUUGUAGCUGUUUUCAGACACACCAGAAAAGGACAUCACAUCUGAUUACAGAUGGUUGUGAGCCACCAUGUAGUUGCUGGGAUUUGAACUCAGGACCUUUGGAAGAGCAGUCAGUGCUCUUAACUGCCAUCUCUCUAGCCCUAACAGCAUAUUCUUAAUGCUCUUUUUCUGAUUGUAAAAAUAAAACCUUCAUUUUAAUUUUUUUUUGAAGUUUUAGAAUACUAAAGGAGGAGCUGGAGGGAUGGAUCAGGAGUUAAGAACACUUGAUGUUCUUCCACUGGAUCUGUGUUUGAUUUUUAAAACUUACUUUGUGGCACACAACUGUAACUCCAGUUCCAGGCAUCUAAUGCCCUAAUUAAGGCCUAUUCAGACUUAUUCAGGCAUCAGACAGGCAUAUGGUGGUAUCCUGACACAUAUGCAGACAAACCGCCAUACACAUAUAAAAAAAGAAUAUCAAAAGAAAAAGAUAGCUUGUUACAAUCAUUUAGCCUUCUGUUUUUCAUUUAUCUCACAAAAAUGAUACAAAUAUGAAACAAUACACUUAAGUUUUCACAAAAUAUUAUGUUCCCAUAUCAUUAACUACUCUUAACAACCACAUGAAACAGCAUUUACUUAAUGAUUUCCUAUUUCAUUAACAUUUAGAUUGUUUCCAGUGUAUUGCUUUUGAUAACAAUGUGAUGAAUUUCUUUACAGCAAAGUCUUUGGAUUCCAUGGACAGCUUUCUUUUUCUUUUUAAUGACACAAAAAAAUAGCUUACUGAAUACUUUAAAACCCAUAAAAUCAGAAGAUAUUUUGAGAUAAAAUUAAAAUGUUUAAUAUUUUUUGCUAAAAUUGUGGACAUUCUAGUUGCUCAGAGGGAUUAUAGUUGGCAAGGGGCAUUUGCUAUGCAAGUUACUCUAAUGAUAAAAUUUGGUGGUUAGGAUCACCUGGGUAGGGUUACUUGGUGCUUCUAGGAAAUGUUUUGAUUUUUUUUUCAAGAAAGACAAUCUUUUGUAUCAAUUUUAAUAUCAUGAAAAAUUGUGUUAAUUACUUAGGAUUUCAUUUUGUUAUGCACAUAUACAUUUAGGGAGUCACAUACAUGCACACAUAAAAUAAAUAAUUUUUAAAUUAAGUUUAUAUGUGAUAACUUAGAUGAAAAGAGAAUGGAAUAUUAUGCAGCUAUAAAACAAUAAUAAAAGAGCAUUCUAUGUAGUAAUAUGAAAUGAUCCCUCAGACAUAUUCCUUCAGGAAAGACAUCAAUAUAUACAACAGUAAGUACACUUAUGUUCAUAUAAAAAACACUGAGAAGAGAAAUAAGAAACUACUAGACAUUUUAUUGGAAUGUGGAAGAGACAAAAGAAGAAGAAAAAUAUAUACUUAGAUAAAACAACGGUAAAAACAAAC